rnacentral:rRNA from 1 species
AGGUGACCUGCGGAAGGAUCAUUAACGAGUUAGGGUCUCUCUGGCCCGACCUCCCAACCCUUUGUCUACUUGACCAUCGUUGCUUCGGCGAGCCCGUCCUCACGGACCGCCGGAGGGAUCUUUACUGGCCCUCUGGUCCGCGCUCGUCGGUAGCCCAACCUUUAAAAUCUUUAACUAAACGUGCCUUAAUCUAAGUACAAUUAUUAAAUAAAAGCAAAACUUUCAACAACGGAUCUCUUGGUUCUGGCAUCGAUGAAGAACGCAGCGAAAUGCGAUAAGUAAUGCGAAUUGCAGAAUUCCAGUGAGUCAUCGAAUCUUUGAACGCACAUUGCGCCCUUUGGUAUUCCGAAGGGCAUGCCUGUUCGAGCGUCAUUAUCACCCCUCAAGCCCUCGGCUUGGUGUUGGACGGUUUGGUGGAGGCCCCCUCGGGGGCUCCUGCCCCUCCCAAAGACAAUGACGGCGGCCUCGUUGGACCCCCGGUACACUGAGUUCUUCACGGGACACGUAUCGGACACAUGGGUUUACGGGACACGGUCUGCCUCCCCUCAGGGAGAAUCUUUCUAAGGUUGACCUCGGAUCAGGUAGGGAUACCCGCUGAACUUAAGCAUAUCAAUAAGCGGAGGAAAAGAAACCAACAGGGAUUGCCUCAGUAACGGCGAGUGAAGCGGCAACAGCUCAAAUUUGAAAUCUGGCCUCUUUGGGGUCCGAGU